rnacentral:rRNA from 1 species
AGUUAGUUUUUUAAUUGGAAAAUAGGAUGRAAGGUUUCACUAAAAAUAGAUUUUUUUUAUAAUCCGCACAAAAUUUUAUGUUUGGUGAAAAUACCAAAUAUCUUUAAAUAGACAAAAAGACCCUAUGAAGCUAGUGAAACUGAGAUGCAUAAAAUAUUAGACUACUUUAAUUUUUUGGGGUAAAACUUAAAAUUUUUAUUUUAAAUAUUUAUUUGGCUAAAUAUCCUUUCAGGAACUAAGAAAAAGCUCCUCUAGGGAUAACAGCAUAAUACCUAAAAAAGUUCUUAUUAAAACAGGUGU